UGGGGAAUAUUGCACAAUGGGCGCAAGCCUGAUGCAGCAACGCCGCGUGAACGAUGAAGGUCUUCGGAUCGUAAAGUUCUGUUGCAGGGGAAGAUAAUGACGGUACCCUGUGAGGAAGCCCCGGCUAACUACGUGCCAGCAGCCGCGGUAAUACGUAGGGGGCUAGCGUUAUCCGGAUUUACUGGGCGUAAAGGGUGCGUAGGUGGUCCUUCAAGUCGGUGGUUAAAGGCUACGGCUCAACCGUAGUAAGCCGCCGAAACUGGAGGACUUGAGUGCAGGAGAGGAAAGUGGAAUUCCCAGUGUAGCGAUGAAAUGCAUAGAUAUUGGGAGGAACACCAGUAGCGAAGGCGGCUUUCUGGACUGCAACUGACACUGAGGAACGAAAGCGUGGGUAGCAAACAGG
rnacentral:rRNA from 1 species